rfam:Canis lupus familiaris chromosome 31, whole genome shotgun sequence.
ACCUGGGUGGCUCAGUGGUUGAGCGUCUGCCUUUGGCUCAGGUUGUGAUCCUGGGGUCCCAGGAUCGAAUCCUGCAUCAGGUU